GAGUUUGAUCCUGGCUCAGGACGAACGCUGGCGGCGUGCUUAACACAUGCAAGUCGAGCGAUGAAGCUUCCUUCGGGAAGUGGAUUAGCGGCGGACGGGUGAGUAACACGUGGGUAACCUGCCUCAAAGUGGGGGAUAGCCUUCCGAAAGGAAGAUUAAUACCGCAUAAUAUGAGAGAAUCGCAUGAUUUUCUUAUCAAAGAUUUAUUGCUUUGAGAUGGACCCGCGGCGCAUUAGCUAGUUGGUGAGGUAACGGCUUACCAAGGCAACGAUGCGUAGCCGACCUGAGAGGGUGAUCGGCCACAUUGGAACUGAGACACGGUCCAGACUCCUACGGGAGGCAGCAGUGGGGAAUAUUGCGCAAUGGGGGAAACCCUGACGCAGCAACGCCGCGUGGGUGAUGAAGGUCUUCGGAUUGUAAAGCCCUGUUUUCUAGGACGAUAAUGACGGUACUAGAGGAGGAAGCCACGGCUAACUACGUGCCAGCAGCCGCGGUAAUACGUAGGUGGCGAGCGUUGUCCGGAUUUACUGGGCGUAAAGGGUGCGUAGGCGGAUGUUUAAGUGGGAUGUGAAAUCCCCGGGCUUAACCUGGGGGCUGCAUUCCAAACUGGAUAUCUAGAGUGCAGGAGAGGAAAGCGGAAUUCCUAGUGUAGCGGUGAAAUGCGUAGAGAUUAGGAAGAACACCAGUGGCGAAGGCGGCUUUCUGGACUGUAACUGACGCUGAGGCACGAAAGCGUGGGUAGCAAACAGGAUUAGAUACCCUGGUAGUCCACGCCGUAAACGAUGGAUACUAGGUGUAGGGGGUAUCAACUCCCCCUGUGCCGCAGUUAACACAAUAAGUAUCCCGCCUGGGGAGUACGGUCGCAAGAUUAAAACUCAAAGGAAUUGACGGGGGCCCGCACAAGCAGCGGAGCAUGUGGUUUAAUUCGAAGCAACGCGAAGAACCUUACCUGGACUUGACAUCCCUUGCAUAGCCUAGAGAUAGGUGAAGCCCUUCGGGGCAAGGAGACAGGUGGUGCAUGGUUGUCGUCAGCUCGUGUCGUGAGAUGUUAGGUUAAGUCCUGCAACGAGCGCAACCCUUGUUAUUAGUUGCUACCAUUAAGUUGAGCACUCUAAUGAGACUGCCUGGGUAACCAGGAGGAAGGUGGGGAUGACGUCAAAUCAUCAUGCCCCUUAUGUCCAGGGCUACACACGUGCUACAAUGGUAGGUACAAUAAGACGCAAGACCGUGAGGUGGAGCAAAACUUAUAAAACCUAUCUCAGUUCGGAUUGUAGGCUGCAACUCGCCUACAUGAAGCUGGAGUUGCUAGUAAUCGCGAAUCAGAAUGUCGCGGUGAAUACGUUCCCGGGCCUUGUACACACCGCCCGUCACACCAUGAGAGCUGGUAACACCCGAAGUCCGUGAGGUAACCGUAAGGAGCCAGCGGCCGAAGGUGGGAUUAGUGAUUGGGGUGAAGUCGUAACAAGGUAGCCGUAGGAGAACCUGCGGCUGGAUCACC
rnacentral:rRNA from 1 species